UGAGGGAAAGGUGAAAAGAACCCCGGGAGGGGAGUGAAAGAGAACCUGAAACCGUAUGUCUACAAGCAGUCGGAGCGAAAGCGACGGCGUGCCUAUUGAAGAAUGAACCAACGAGUUACGUGCACUAGCGAGGUUAAGUGGAAGACACGGAGCCGAAGCGAAAGCGAGUCUUAAUAGGGCGGAUAGUUAGUGUACGUAGACCCGAAACCGCAGUGAUCUACCCAUGUCCAGGUUGAAGCGCAGGUAAAAUUGCGUGGAGGACCGAACCUGUGAGCGUUGAAAAGCUUUAGGAUGAGAUGUGGGUAGAGGUGAAAUUCCAAUCGAACGCGGAGAUAGCUGGUUCUCCCCGAAAUAGCUUUAGGGCUAGCCUCAAGUAGUAAGUAUAGGCGGUAGAGCACUGAUCGGGCUAGGGGCCAUAACGGUUACCGAACCCUGUCAAACUCCGAAUGGUUAUACUGUAGAGCUUGGGAGUCAGACUACGAGUGAUAAGAUCCGUGGUCAAAAGGGAAACAGCCCAGACCACCAGCUAAGGUCCCCAAUGCCGUACUAAGUGGAGAAGGAUGUGGGGUCUCUAAAACAACCAGGAUGUUGGCUUAGAAGCAGCCACCAUUUAAAGAGUGCGUAAUAGCUCACUGGUCGAGAGACCCUGCGCCGAAGAUUACCGGGGCUAAAGUACGGAACCGAAGCUGUGGCUACGACUUUGAGUCGUGGGGUAGGGGAGCGUUCUCUGAGGGCUGAAGUCGUUCUGUAAGGGACGGUGGACUUCAGAGAAGUGAGAAUGUUGGUAUGAGUAGCGAAAAGAAAGGUGAGAAUCCUUUCCACCGAAAGCAUAAGGAUUCCUGGGCAACGAUCGUCGUCCCAGGGUAAGUCGGGACCUAAUCCGAGGCAUGGAGCGUAGGAGAUGGACAACUGGCAGAUAUUCCAGUACCGGUAAUGAUUGUUUGAGCGAUGGAGUGACACAGGAGGGCAGGCAGGCAGGAGAUUGGUAGUUCCUGUACAAGCGUGUAGGAUGGGUUAUAGGCAAAUCCGUAACCUGAAAGUCUGAGGCGUGAUGUGGAGAGAAUGGAGACAUUCUUGAAGCUGUUGACCCCACACUGUCGAGAAAAGCUUCUAGUGAGAAAGUUACCGCCCGUACCGUAAACCGACACAGGUAUGCGGGGAGAGAAUCCUAAGGUGCGCGGGAGAACCCUCGUUAAGGAACUCGGCAAAAUGUACCCGUAACUUCGGGAUAAGGGUAGCCAGCGUUGUGAAGGAAUUUACUUCUGGAGCAUAGUCUGGUCGCAGAGAAGAGGCCCAAGCGACUGUUUACCACAAACACAGGUGCCUGCUAAAGAGAAAUCUGACGUAUAGGUGCUGACACCUGCCCAGUGCCGGAAGGUUAAGGAAGGAUGUCCGGAGCAAUCCAAAGCAUUCGACCGAAGCCCCGGUGAACGGCGGCCGUAACUAUAACGGUCCUAAGGUAGCGAAAUUCCUUGUC
rnacentral:rRNA from 1 species